AUUGAACGCUGGCGGCAGGCCUAACACAUGCAAGUCGAGCGGAGCGGCGGACGGGUGAGUACUGCCUAGGAAUCUGCCUGGUAGUGGGGGAUCACGUACGGAAACGGGCGAUAAUACCGCAUGCUAUCAGAUCAGCCUCGGUCGGAUUUGCUAGUUGGUGGGGUACAGGCCUACCAAGGCGACGAUCCGUAACUGGCCUGAGAGGAUGAUCAGUCACACUGGAACUGAGACACGGUCCAGACUCCUACGGGAGGCAGCAGUGGGGAAUAUUUGACAAUGGGCGAAAGCCUGAUCCAGCCAUGCCGCUUGUGUGAAGAAGGUCUUCGGAUUGGAAAGCACUGUAAGUUGGGAGGCGUUACCAACAGAAUAAGCACCGGCUAACUUCGUGCCAGCAGCCGCGGUAAUUC
rnacentral:rRNA from 1 species